rnacentral:rRNA from 1 species
AUUGAACGCUGGCGGCAGGCCUAACACAUGCAAGUCGAACGAGUGGCGGACGGGUGAGUAAUGUCUGGGAAACUGCCCGAUGGAGGGGGAUAACUACUGGAAACGGUGGCUAAUACCGCAUACCAUCAGAUGUGCCCAUAGGGGAUUAGCUAGUUGGUGGGGUAACGGCUCACCACGGCGACGUUCCCUAGCUGGUCUGAGAGGGUGACCGACCACACGUGACCUGAGACACGGUCCAGACUCCUACGGGGGGCAGCAGUGGGGAAUAUUGCACAAUGGGCGCGAGCCUGAUGCAGCCAUGCCGCGUGUAUGAAGAAGGCCUUCGGGUUGUAAAGUACUUUCAGCGAGGAGGCGUUACCCGCAGAAGAAGCACCGGCUAACUCCGUGCCAGCAGCCGCGGUAAUUC